rnacentral:sRNA from 1 species
ACUAUUUGACCUUCCUGCUGUAACAAGAAAGGUCACCGCCAGCAUUUCACUCUUCAGUCUGAGCUGCCCUCUCUGCUGGCAGCAUUGAUUCCUGCUGCAGCUUCUCACAGGAGACAAGAGUUCCUUUUCUCUCCCUGGCCUGUGUCUGCAAGGGCUCGGGGGGGGAAAUUUAGGAACCAAGAACCUUGUGGAAAGUUGGAGAGGGCAGGAUGGGGGCCUGGUCGCCAGGUGUGAUGUCUCGCCUGGGCACUGUGACCUGCUCCUGGAAGCUGGGAAGCCAUUGAGUCAUCGGCCAUGGGAUUUGCAUGGUUGGAGGGGCCUGGGCUGAGUUGGCCUCAUCCCUCUGAUCCUGGUGAGUGGGUCACAAGUCUGACUCAGCACCCAGAUGUCCUCCCUGGCUCAGAGUCAGCGCCCUGCAGGCCUUGGGAGGAGAUGGGCUCCGGGCUCCAGACCCACUGGCUGGGAUCUGGACCAUAACGAGAUUUCGGGCACAAUAGAGGACACGAGCGGCGCCUUCUCAGGGCUCGACAGCCUCAGCAAGCUGACUCUGUUUGGAAACAAGAUCAAGUCUGUGGCUAAGAGAGCAUUCUCGGGGCUGGAAGGCCUGGAGCACCUGAACCUUGGAGGGAAUGCGAUCAGAUCUGUCCAGUUUGAUGCCUUUGUGAAGAUGAAGAAUCUUAAAGAGCUCCAUAUCAGCAGCGACAGCUUCCUGUGUGACUGCCAGCUGAAGUGGCUGCCCCCGUGGCUAAUUGGCAGGAUGCUGCAGGCCUUUGUGACAGCCACCUGUGCCCACCCAGAAUCACUGAAGGGUCAGAGCAUUUUCUCUGUGUCACCAGAGAGUUUCGUGUGCGAUGACUUCCUGAAGCCACAGAUCAUCACCCAGCCAGAAACCAUCAUGGCUAUGGUGGGCAAGGACAUCCGGUUCACAUGCUCAGCAGCCAGCAGCAGCAGCUCCCCCAUGACCUUUGCCUGGAAGAAAGACAAUGAAGUCCUGACCAAUGCAGACAUGGAGAACUUUGUCCACGUCCACGCGCAGGACGGGGAAGUGAUGGAGUACACCACCAUCCUGCACCUCCGUCAGGUCACUUUCGGGCACGAGGGCCGCUACCAAUGUGUCAUCACCAACCACUUUGGCUCCACCUAUUCACAUAAGGCCAGGCUCACUGUGAAUGUGUUGCCAUCAUUCACCAAAACACCCCACGACAUAACCAUCCGGACCACCACCAUGGCCCGCCUCGAAUGUGCUGCCACAGGUCACCCAAACCCUCAGAUUGCCUGGCAGAAGGAUGGAGGCACGGAUUUCCCUGCCGCCCGUGAGCGACGCAUGCAUGUCAUGCCGGAUGACGACGUGUUUUUCAUCACUGAUGUGAAAAUAGAUGACGCAGGGGUUUACAGCUGUACUGCUCAGAACUCAGCCGGUUCCAUUUCAGCUAAUGCCACCCUGACUGUCCUAGAGACCCCAUCCUUGGUGGUGCCCUUGGAAGACCGUGUGGUAUCUGUGGGAGAAACAGUGGCCCUCCAAUGCAAAGCGACGGGGAACCCUCCUCCCCGCAUCACCUGGUUCAAGGGGGACCGCCCGCUGAGCCUCACUGAGCGGCACCACUUGACCCCUGACAACCAGCUCCUGGUGGUUCAGAACGUGGUGGCAGAGGAUGCGGGCCGAUAUACCUGUGAGAUGUCCAACACCCUGGGCACGGAGCGAGCUCACAGCCAGCUGAGCGUCCUGCCCGCAGCAGGCUGCAGGAAGGAUGGGACCACGGUAGGCAUCUUCACCAUUGCUGUCGUGAGCAGCAUCGUCCUGACGUCACUGGUCUGGGUGUGCAUCAUCUACCAGACCAGGAAGAAGAGUGAAGAGUACAGUGUCACCAACACAGAUGAAACCAUCGUGCCACCAGAUGUUCCAAGCUACCUCUCUUCUCAGGGGACCCUUUCUGACCGACAAGAAACCGUGGUCAGGACCGAGGGUGGCCCUCAGGCCAAUGGGCACAUUGAGAGCAAUGGUGUGUGUCCAAGAGAUGCAAGCCACUUUCCAGAGCCCGACACUCACAGUGUUGCCUGCAGGCAGCCAAAGCUCUGUGCUGGGUAUCACAAAGAGCCGUGGAAAGCGAUGGAGAAAGCUGAAGGGACACCUGGGCCACAUAAGAUGGAACACGGUGGCCGGGUCGUAUGUAGUGACUGCAACACCGAAGUGGACUGUUACUCCAGGGGACAAGCCUUCCACCCCCAGCCUGUGUCCAGAGACAGCGCACAGCCAAGUGCGCCAAAUGGCCCGGAGCCGGGUGGGAGUGACCAAGAGCAUUCUCCACAUCACCAGUGCAGCAGGACUGCCGCUGGGUCCUGCCCCGAGUGCCAAGGGUCGCUCUACCCCAGUAACCACGAUAGAAUGCUGACGGCUGUGAAGAAAAAGCCAAUGGCAUCUCUAGAUGGGAAAGGGGAUUCUUCCUGGACUUUAGCAAGGUUGUAUGACCCGGACUCCACAGAGCUACAGCCUGCAUCUUCAUUAACUUCAGGCAGUCCAGAGCACGCGGAAGCCCAGUACUUGCUUGUUUCCAAUGGCCACCUCCCCAAAGCAUGUGACGCCAGUCCCGAGUCCACGCCACUGACAGGACAGCUCCCUGGGAAACAGAGGGUGCCACUGCUGUUGGCACCAAAAAGCUAGGUUUUGUCUACCUCAGUUCUUGUCAUACCAAUCUCUACGGGAAAGAGAGGUAGGAGAGGCUGUGAGGAAGCUUGGGUUCAAGCGUCACUCAUCUGUACAUAGUUGUAACUCCCAUGUGGAGUAUCAGUCGCUCACAGGACUUGCAUCUGAAGCACAGAAACGCAAGAGGGGAUUUGUGUACAAAAGGCAAAAAAAAGUAUUUGAUAUCAUUGUACAUAAGAGUUUUCAGAGAUUUCAUAUAUAUCUUUUACAGAGGCUAUUUUAAUCUUUAGUGCAUGGUUAACAGAAAAAAUUAUACAAUUUUGACAAUAUUAUUUUUCAUAUCAGGUUGCUGUUUAAUUUUGGAGGGGGGUGGGGAAGUAGUUCUGGUGCCUUAACGCAUGGCUGGAAUUUAUAGAGGCUACAACCACAUUUGUUCACAGGAGUUUUUGGUGCGGGGUGGGAAGGAUGGAAGGCCUUGGAUUUAUAUUGCACUUCAUAGACCCCUAGGCUGCUGUGUGGUCGGACUACACAUGCACCGGAAGGAGCUUCAGGUGAGCACUGCUCAUGUGUGGAUGCCCCUGCAACAGGCUUCCCUGUAGAGCCAGGGGUGCAAGUGCCAUCCACACUUGCAGUGAAUGGCUUUUCCUUUUAGGUUUAAGUCCUGUCUGUCUUUAAGGCGUAGAAUGAGGGUUGUUAAUCCAUCACAAGCAAAAGGUCAGAACAGUUAAACACUGCCUUUCCUCCUUCUCUUAUUUUAUGAUAAAAGCAAAUGUGGCCUUCUCAGUAUCAUUCGAUUGCUAUUUGAGACUUUAAAGGCUGCUGGUGUUGGUACCUGUGGAUUUUUCUAUACUGAUGUUUUCGUUCUGCCAAUAUAAUGAGUAUUACAUUGGCCUUAGGGGACAGAAAGGAGGAAGUUCUUACUUUUCAGGGCUACCUUAUUUCUACUAAGGACCCAGAGCAGGCCUGUCCAUGCCAUUCCUUCGCACAGAUGAAACUGAGCUGGGACUGGAAAAGACAGCCCUUGACCUGGGUUCUGGGUAUAUUUGCACUUUUGAGACUGGUAGCUAACCAUCUUAUGAGUGCCAAUGUGUCAUUUAGUAAAACUUAAAUAGAAACAAGGUCCUUUAAAAUGUUCCUUUGGCCAAAAGCUGAAGGGAGUUACUGAGAAAAUAGUUAACAAUUACUGUCAGGUGUCAUCACUGUUCAAAAGGUAAGCACAUUUAGAAUUUUGUUGUUGACAGUUAACUGACUAAUCUUACUUCCACAAAAUAUGUGAAUUUGCUGCUUCUGAGAGGCAAUGUGAAAGAGGAAGUAUUACUUUUAUGUACAAAGUUAUUUAUUUAUAGAAAUUUUGGUACAGUGUACAUUGAAAACCAUGUAAAAUAUUGAAGUGUCUAACAAAUGGCAUUGAAGUGUCUUUAAUAAAGGUUCAUUUAUAAAUGUC